AACUUUGCACAGUGGCAGUAUGGUAGUCAAUGAGCUUUAUCCGAGGCGUGGUUAUUCUAAUUGAAAACUUUUCUGAAUAUGAGGAAAUAUGAGGAAAUAUGAUGACUUGAAAUAUACUCAUCAUUGGCAAUUUUUUUUUUUUUAUUAAA
rnacentral:snRNA from 1 species